ensembl:rRNA 5S_rRNA 5S ribosomal RNA
GUGUAUGGCCAUACCACCCUGAACGUGCCUGAUCUUAUUUGAUCUCGUGAAGCUAAGCAGGAUCUGGCCUGGUUAGUUCUUGGAUGGGAGACCACCUGGAAUUCCCAGGUGCUGCAGGCC